AAAUGGAGGGUUCAGUAGCUAAUGUAGAGGACUUUUGAUCAUUAUUGUAAGCUUCUGCUAGAGCAGCUAAGGAGAAGAUUUUGAUUAUAAAGACUAUAGUUAGGGGAAUUGAGCAUUUUUGGCUCCUAGGCUUUGGCUUUGCAUGGGAGAAACCUGCCAUUGUGUACAUGUGGCUGGGGUUGAGACUUGAGAGCGAGAGGCAAUAAAAU
rnacentral:misc_RNA from 1 species